AGGAUAAACGCUGGCGGCGUGCAUGAGACAUGCAAGUCGAACGGACUUCUCGGGCUUGCUCGAGAAGUUAGUGGCGGACGGCUGAGUAACGCGUAGGUGACCUACCCCCAAGUGGGGAAUAAACUGCCCGAAAGGGUGGCUAAUACCGCAUGUGAUCGUUCAUUCGUUUGAACGUUCAAAGCAGUAAUGCGCGUUAGGGAGGGCCUGCGUCCGAUUAGCUCGUUGGUGGGUAACGGCUCACCGAAGGCGACGAGUCGGUAGGUGGUCUGAGAGGACGAUCACCCAGACGUGGACUGAGACGACCGGCCCAGACCGUCCGUACGGGAGGCAGCGAGGUACGGGUAAUUUUUCGCUUACAAGUA
rnacentral:rRNA from 1 species